CCACACGCCACAACUAAAAGAUCCUGCAUACUGCAAGGGAGAUUAAGCAUCUCCUGUGCCACAGCGAAGGUCCAGUGCAGUUAAGUACAUAAAAAUAUUUAAAAAUUCAGUGGCUUUUUCUUGCCUUUAGAAUAAAGUCCAGGGAAUUCCUUGGUGGUCCAAUGGUUAAGACUCCAGUCUUCCGUUGCAGGAAGUCUGGGUUUGAUCCCUGGUCAAGGAACUAAAAUCCCACAAGCUCUGCAGUGUGGUGAAAAAACAAUAGAAUAAAGUCCAAAAAGCUUCUCAGGACAGUCAAGGCUUCCUGUUACCUGAAUUUACUUGACUUUUCCCCAAGUUAUUUUUCUAUUACUGGGUCUAGGCCCACUCUCAUAAAGACUACAUCAAGCUAAGAGAGAGCUCUUUCAACAAAGAGAGAGUCUUUCAACAGAGACUGAAGGAGUCCCUCGUGGGGCAGAAGUAACUUGAGUCCUUGUAUCAUAGUUUCUCAUUACAUAUAUCUGCUUGAUGGCCUCUGAAUUAAACCUCCUCUUUGUUAUAUAUAUAGUCAUGUCUUACAUUUCAGUACCAGCAACAAAGUUGUUUUCCUUUCCAAGUUUUUCUUAGUCUAAAUCCUGCCCAUUUUUGUAGAUCUCCAUAAAAUCAAAUGUAAUUAUCCAGCAUUGCUCCAACCCAGAAGUAAUUCAUCUCUUUCUCCAUUAUUUGUUAUGGUGUUUAUUUCUCACAUUCCACUAUAUCACAGCCAUAUAUCUUGAUGGACGUGUGUCAUUCAAUUUAGUUGCCCAUCAUCCAAACACUUUUUAGGGAAUUCUCUAUUUUCUGAGUCUUGGUGGGAAGCAGAGACUGCCUUCUAUAGAAAUUAAAUCUGCCAAAUUCUUGCUUCCUCACUUUGCUUUUCAGUUAAGUUUCAAUAACUAUAUAUUGCAGCAAAAAUUUAUUAUUUAAGUCUUUCAAGAUCUUUAUGGAGAAAGCAAUGGCAACCCAUUCCAGUACUCUUGCCUGGAAAAUCCCAUGGACGGAGGAGCCUGGUAGGCUGCAGUCCAUGGGGUCAUGAAGAGUCGGACACGACUGAGCAGCUUCAUUUUCACUUUUCACUUUCAUGCAUUGACGAAGGAAAUGGUAACCCACUCCAGUGUUCUUGCCUGGAGAAUCCCAGGGAUAGGGGAGCCUGGUGGGCUGCUGUCUGUGGGGUCACACAGAGUUGGACACAACUGAAGUGAUUUAGCAGCAAGAUUUUUAUAUAAUUCCUCCAGGGUUAUGGUUAGGAUUCAGUUCAGUUCAGUUGCUCAGUUGUACCCCACUCUUUGCAACCCCACGGAUUGCAGCACAGCAGGCCUCCCUGUCCAUCAUCAACUCCCAGAGUUUACCAAAACUCAUGUCCAUUGAGUCAGUGAUGCCAUCCAAACAUCUCAUCCUCUGUUGUCCCCUUCUCCUCCUGCCUUCAGUCUUUCCCAGCAUCAGGGUCUUUUCAAGUGAGUCAGCUCUUCACAUCAGAUGGCUAAAAUAUUGGAGUUUCAGCUUCAACAUCAGUUCUUCCAAUGAACACUCAGGACUGAUCUCCUUUAGGAUGGACUGGUUGGAUCUCCUUGCAAUCUAAAGGACUCUCAACACCGUUCAAAAGCAUCAGUUCUUCAGCACUCAGCUUUCUUCACAGUCCAACUCUCAUAUCCAUACAUGCCCACUGGAAAAACCAUAGCCUUCAUCCUUACAGAGUGUAAAGGGGAUUAUGGACUUAACGGCUUAAAUGUAUUCAUCGUCACAACAGAGAAAACAGACCUGGUCUCUACAAAUCAACAGAAGCAGCAUCUCAGAAACCACACCUGAGACCCAAAGGACGCUAAAUGGCUUAGUGAAGGAAACCGGGGUAUGCCAUUUAGGACGCUGAUGGAUCUGUAACAUGUCUGUGGGAAGAGAGUGUCCAAGAUGGGAGGAGGAGAGCGAGAAGUUUGCCACAGCAGCUGUAAACAAAAAGAACAAAGAGUCUCCCUCAUUACUCAGUUCCAAAAAGCAUUAAGUUGCAACUCACUGCAGCUGCCCACAGUGUGCACUGAGGGGAAUUCAGGAUGAAGAAUAGGAUGAAGUAUUCUUGUUUUGAAUAUAUGGCCCCAAAGCAGUUAAAUGCAUAUUUAAGAAAGAAAUUCAGUGAUGCCAGAUUCUUGCAUAGAAAAGCACUAAAAUGAUUUUUGAGAUUCUCUGUUUGUGUUUGUCAUUAGCAGUAAUCUUUUUACCAAGAUAUAUGUUUAACUGCAAGUAUUUCCGAGGCAAAAAAUUCAUAUAGGCUCCUUCCCUGCAUCCCUACUUCUUUGCAGCAGUCCCCUCAGAGUUACUUACAUGCUGUUUCCUGGACUAUAGUUC
ensembl:lncRNA